UACGUAGGUGACCAGCGUUGUCCGGAUUUACUGGGCGUAAAGAGCGCGCAGGCGGUCGUUCAAGUCGAGUGUGAAAGCCCCCGGCUCAACUGGGGAGGGUCACUCGAUACUGAUCGACUUGAAGGCAGGAGAGGGAAGCGGAAUUCCCGGUGUAGUGGUGGAAAUGCGAUAGAUAUUGGGAGGAACACCAGAUGCGAAGGCGGGUCA
rnacentral:rRNA from 1 species